AACAAACGCUGGCGGCGUGCCUAAUACAUGCAAGUCGAACGGGGAAAGCUUUCGGGUGAGUACUAGUGGCGCACGGGUGAGGAACGCGUGGAUAAUCUGCCUUAGAGUGGGGGAUAACUAGUCGAAAGAUUAGCUAAUACCGCAUAAGACCACAGGAGCUGCGGCUCAAGGGGUCAAAGGUUUUUCGCUCUAAGAUGAGUCCGCGUAAGAUUAGCUAGUUGGUGAGGUAACGGCUCACCAAGACGACGAUCUUUAACUGGUCUGAGAGGAUGAUCAGUCACACUGGAACUGAGACACGGUCCAGCCUCCUACGGGAGGCAGCAGUAGGGAAUAUUGCACAAUGGAGGAAACUCUGAUGCAGCGACGCCGCGUGAGUGAUGAAGGCCUUCGGGUCGUAAAGCUCUGUCGCAGGGGAAUAACACAAUGAAGGUACCCUGUAAGAAAGGAUCGGCUAACUUCGUGCCAGCCGCCGCCGUAAGAC
rnacentral:rRNA from 1 species